rnacentral:lncRNA from 1 species
UGGCCCUCAGUUUUCUCCUCUACAAAAUGGGUCUAGCCAGACCUCUUUUACAGGUUGUUUUGAGGUCAAAUGAGGUCACAGAUACGAAAGUUUUUUAUAAACUGGAACGUCCCGCACAGCGGUGAAGGUCAAUUAACUGAUGGGUUCUUUGUUUUUUUCCCAGAAACAUUUAAAUGGGUAACAUUACGAAUUCAUUAUUAGCAAUUAUCACAAACGAUGUUGAUCAGGAGGGGUUUGGAGGAAGCCCACCAGAAGUAAGACGUCAGAUGGGACUCCCCCCACCCGCCAGUCACCCGGGGCCAUGGCUGGCAACCCUUGGCACACAUUAGACUCCUGGAGCUGUUAAAAAACCUUAAGCCUUGGGCAUAAGUGCUUUCUCAAGGCUUUCCCAGGCGAUUCUAAAUGUGCAGCCAAGCUGGAGGCCGCCGUGAUGUCAUGGGCACCGGAAACUGACGGAGGGCUGGCCCACAAGCUCUGGGGGUGCCAGGCCAGCCCCAAACUCAGGGGGCCCCGGGAUAAGCUCUGCAGGUGGCAAAUUUGGCAACCUAGAGGCACCCCCUUCCCCGCUCACUCAGCUGCCCCGCCUCUGAGAUCCCGGACCCUCAGCUAUGCCAAAGGGUUCAGGCCUUUCCCAAGUGGUGACCUGUGACAUUUUAAGGUAGGACAACAACAAAAAGGUAAUUGUGUGAGGUGAGGGAUGGGUUAACUAACCUGGUUAUGGGACACGUUUCACGAGAUACACAUGUCUCAGAUCGUCACAUCUUAAACUUACACAAGGCUAUAUGUCAAUUCUGUCUCAAUAAAGUUAGAGAUGGGGGGAAAAAAGGGGGGGGGAGCCAGAAGAGGCCCAGCAGAUCCCAAAGGAAUGGUGCAAUAAUGCGGGUCUCGCCAGCAGUGGACCCAGCCCCCCACCCCCCACCCCCACUCUCCACAGUGGGUCUGCCGCGGAGAAGCUCGCCCCGCUCUGGGGUCCCGCUUCUGCAUGGCGCAUAGGCUCCAUCACCCCUCCCCUCUGCCUCAGCGGGGAGAGAGGUGCCUGGUCCUGGCAGCGGGCCUCACCCUCCCCACCUCCUCUCCUCCCAAAUGCACCCACCUUCUGUCUGUUUAAGUUCUCCGGCAGCACGCUCUUAAAAAUAACGGCUUGCCGGGCAUUCCCAGUCACGACUCCAAUCUCCCGCCCCCAGAAAAGCCCCCUCUAAUCACUGAAGCAGCAGGUCUGGGUGAGCUGAGAAGAUAAGGUGCCUCUGGCUACGGGGAGCUCCAGAGAGGGGUCAGGGUCUGAGUUAAUUAAGGCCUCGCCCCCCUCCUUUCCCUGACCCCCGGGAGAUGGCUGCAACUGCCUCCCAACCCCAUUUCUCUUUGUGUGCGGUGGCCCCUGAGUUCAGUGAAAAGAGGCAGCUGAUCAACCUCACUCCCCGCCAGAACUCGUGGGGUUCCUGGCUGCCUGGCAGCUUCCAGGCUCCCCCCAAAAUAGCUCCCGGCCAGAGACCCAGCCAUCAGGUCACUGCUUGAAAGGGGUGGCUUCCUCUCCUAGUCCUCGAGGUCGCUGGCUGGUAAAGCUUGUCGGUAACGAACUCAUGACUAAGAUAGCUGAGAGCAGGGCACCAACGAGCACCCAAGAGGUUUGAGGGGCAAGGGGCAGAAAAGGCCAGCACGCAAGGUGCUGCUCAGAGGGGACAGGCUGGGACGAGGUAUCCUUGAAUCACUUGAUGUCGUUGCUGAAAGGACCCUUGAAGGAUGUCUGUUUAUUUAACAAAUCCUCAUAUAGCACUUGCUAUGUGUUACAUACGCACUUUUAAGUGCUUUGCAGAUAAUUAACUCAAUCUGUCCUCUUAACCAACCCAUUACUAGGAGCCCCUUUUUGCUGGUGAGAAAGUGGAGGCACAGAGAGGUCGAGCGACCUGCCACAGAUCACACAGCUACUAAGUGGCGGAGUUGAGAUCGGGACACCUUGGCUCGGAGACCUUGCUCUGAAUCACUAUGCUCUCCGUUCAUUGUCCACACGUGGAAAGCGAUGUCGGGGAGGGAAAGGUUUUACCCAAGAUCAGACACUGGGUCAAAGACAGAGCCACGCCAGGAAUUCAAGCCUCUUUCCGUGAAAGUCCUCCCAGACUUCAUUCAUUCGUCCAAUAGAUGUAUUAGAACCUACUCUGGGCCAUAUCCCACAAUGCCGGGGGCCCAGGGAUUAAUACAACAGGGACCUUGACCUCAAAGACAUCACAGGUAGAAGCGUGGGGAGGUCAUGGUUUUGCUGAGGGCCCCGGCCAAGACUCACACCCAGUGGCCUUGUCUUGCCCUUUCAGGAUCAGCUCUCGAAAGGGCAGAGGUUUGGGGGUCCAGGUGCCAGAGGCCCAUUCCUUUCAUGUUUCUCGUGCUUUAGUUUCUCUGCUGCCAGGCGGGGAUCUACAUGGAACCAAAGCCCAGGAUUUCCGCCAGGGUACCUGAAAUAAUGGAUGUGAAUACUCCAGGCACAUUCUGUGCGCUCGAUGGUGAUGGGAUGCUGAGCGUAGGAUGUUGGCUGAUGGCAACGGCGGUGACAGUUUUGCUGGGGGUGGGAGUAGGGGUGGUGAUAUGACGGUGAUAUGGGUCUUUACGGUGGGACUAAUGGCAGUAACGAUGGCGCUGGUAAUGGGUGACAGCGAUGGUGUUGACGGUGAUGGGGCGGCACUGGGGGUUAUGGUGGCGGAGGUUGCCACGAUACAUGAUAUGAUACCAGUGGUGCCAGUGCCAAAGGCAAUGGUGGUGACGGUGACGGUGACAGUGAUGAUUACACCGAUGACCUAGUGGGUGGUGAUGGAUGGUGACGGCAACAGUGCUGGUGACCCACUCAUGCCAGACGUCCUCAGUCCUGAUCCUCCUACCUGCUUGAUCAACCCACAGAUCUCUCAGCAUGAUCCCACUGCCUAGUCUGGUCCUAGCAGCAGAUGGGGGCUUGUCUAGAUCUCGCACUGGAUGCCUCUCACCCUGCUCCUGUGAUCUCGCCGCAGACAAUCAUGCCCAGCUCUCCCGGGCAUCCCUAAGGAUCCGAAUCCUGGAUGUGAACGACAAUCCCCCGGAGCUGGCCACCCCCUACGAGGCAGCGGUGUGCGAGGAUGCCAAGCCAGGACAGGUACACUGAGGGGCUGGGGCCGGGGGCCUGUUGCCAGGACUGGCCGGGACACCCUCUAUCCAGGUCCAGAGUGGGCUCAGCCUCGCCUCAGCUCCCUGCCCUGUCCUCACCCUUCAGCUUAUCCAGACCAUCAGCGUGGUGGACAGAGACGAGCCUCAGGGCGGGCAUCGCUUCUAUUUCCGCCUGGUGCCUGAAGCACCCAGCAACCCUCAUUUCUCCCUGCUUGACAUCCAAGGUGAGUCACCUCUGAACCACCAAAUCCUAGGAGGCGUGGAGGGAGGGGCCUAGCCUCUUCCCAUAUUACAGGGGGAGAGGCUGGGGCACGCACAGGACCAGCGUCGGGUCCAACAUCACCCAGAAAAUCAGGGCCAGGCCGGAGCUGUUAGCCAGCCCACUGGCCAAACCCUGGAGCACAAGCUGGGGGUGAGUUGGCAGAGUGGAGAGGGGGCACCCCAAGAGAAGAGAAUGGAAAGAUACAGAAAAGGAACAGAUGAGGAGUGGGUUGGCCAGAGUCCUGGAUGGAAAGAGCCCCGGGUCUGAGUGAAGAUUGAAAUAGCCCACGUGCACACACUCCCACCCUUCAGUUUAAAAAGCUCUGUGUCCCACUCAUGUUUCUCUUUGCCUCCUCACGGCCGUCCUGGGAAGUGGGAGGUGGUUUUCUUACCCCUCCUCCUAUUUUGCCCCCUGUGAUAAAACGGAGACUCUAAGAGGAAAGGGGCCGGGGGGCCGGGGUGGCUCAGUCGGUUAAGCAUCCGACUUGGGCUCCGGUCGUGACCUAGUCGUUUGUGAGUUCUAGCCCCACGAUGGGCUCUGCUGUCACCAUGGAGCCCGCUUCAGAUCUGCUCCCUCUCUCUCGGCCCCUCCCCCGCUUACGCGUCCGCUCUCUCUCUCUCUCUCUCUCUCUGUCUCUAAUAAACAUUUAAGAGAAGGGGACCCACCCAGGGCCAUGCAGGGAGUCAGUCAGUGGUGGGCUGGGCCACCCCUGUCUCAGAUCCAGCACGCUUCCUGCUUUAGCUCACUCACCACCUUGCAAGUGAUGGCCCAGCCUGAGCUGAUCGCACUGUGAGACAUCCCUCAAGAAGCCUCAGUCUGAACCUUUGAGGAAUGAGCUACGGGAGGGGGACUGUCAGUGCGCUGGGAGUGAGGUCCCUGGCCCAGGCUCAGCCAGGGCCUCUCGGUGCAAACCCAGCAAGGUCUGCACCUCCCUAAGCCUCCGUUGUGUCAUCUGCAAAAUGGGGCUGAAAACGCCUGUCCUCGCCCUUUAGCUCGGCCGAAGGUGGCUAGGUGGCCCCAACGAGAUGAGGGCUACCAAGGUAUAUUGUUAGUACCCAGAACGUGUCAUUUCCUGCUUUCAGCAAUUAUUUAUUGAGCGCUUAUUGAAACACGGUGCCUAUAUAUCAGGCACUAUUCUAGGGCCUGAGAAUACAGUGGCAAACAAGACGAAACCCCUGCCCUCAUGGAGUUGACCUUCUGGUGAGGGGAGGUAGAAAGUAAACAAAUAAAUAAUAUGUCGGGCAUGCUAAGUGGCUGGAACGUGGGUCAUGCAAUCUCCCCAAGAGUCUGGACCUUGUUUUGUUCAGUGCUGGGCCCCGAGUGCCUAGAGCAGUGCCUGGCACAUAGUGGGUGUGCAAUCAAACGUGUUAAACAAAACGGGGGAAAGUAAAGCCGAGUAAGAGUAGGUGCUAUCUUACUUUUUUUUUUUUAACGUUUAUUUAUUUUUGAGACAGAGAGAGACAGAGCGUGAACGGGGGAGGGUCAGAGAGAGGGAGACACAGAAUCUGAAACAGGCUCCAGGCUCUGAGCUGUCAGCACAGAGCCCGAUGUGGGGCUCGAACUCACGGACCGUGAGAUCGUGACCUGAGCCGAAGNNNNNNNNNNNNNNNNNNNNNNNNNNNNNNNNNUUUUUUUUAACGUUUAUUUAUUUUUGAGACAGAGAGAGACAGAGCAUGAACGGGGGAGGGUCAGAGAGAGGGAGACACAGAAUCUGAAACAGGCUCCAGGCUCUGAGCGGUCAGCACAGAGCCCGACGUGGGGCUCGAACUCACGGACCGUGAGAUCAUGACCUGAGCCAAAGUCGGCCGCUUAACCGACUGAGGCACCCAGGCGCCCCGAGUAAGAGCUAUCUUAAAUAAAGGGGUCUGGGAAGCCCUCUCUGAGGGAAUCAAGAGUGGUGGAGAUCUAAAGGAAAUUAGGGAGUAAGUCAUGCUGAUAACUGGACAAAGAAUGAUCCAGGUAGACAGAACAGUAAGUGCAAAGGCCCUGAGGAGGCAGCAGGCCUGGGAUGUUCAAGGAACAGGAAGCCUGCGUGGUUGGAAUGAGGGGGUGACAGGACUAGAAGACCAGGCCAUGUUGAUUCUUUCUGACCCCGGAACAUCUCUGGGAUCACCCCCAAGACCCUUACAACGCUUCCCUCCAAAAGAAGGGACAUCAGUGGUCUCGGAAGCCAGACCUUCUGUAUUUCCGAGAGUCAUAUUAAAAAUAUCUCACAACCAAUCAAAAGGGACACUGACCAUAAAUAACCUGGCACGGGACCCUAGAACCCCUGCUGGGCCCGGCUUCACCCCCUCAAUGGCUUGAUUGUUGGGGGUGGGCAUGGGGAAAAGGCUAAGGCAGCAGGGAGGUACGUGGGACACUCAGAGUCAUAGCUAUUUAAGCCUUUCUGGAAGUAUUUCAAUAUCUUAACAACUGGUAGUGCCUCGCCUGCUCAUUAUUCCAGUGGUAUCCUGAGUUGGCCCCGGGAGACACAAAUAGGCCUGGCUUAACCUCAUCAAGUUCACAAGUCUUUCCAACCCAAGGGGCCUAAAGUUCUGUCCCAACUGCCUCUCUUUGAUGGGGAGCCGCCAGGAGCUCCCAUCCGGCGCGACCACCUGGUGUGAGCUCCAGGAGAAGGGUGGCGGGCCAUGUGUUGAGCUCAGCACAGCCGCUGAAGGGCUCCUCCGCCAGCCCCCUAGCCCCUUCCCACGGCCUGCCAAGCCCCCUCCUCCUCACCGUAUAAAUAUCCUGGGUGACAAACAGCUACCCCAACCCAUCUGUUUCUUUGUACACAUUUGUAGCCAGUUUGGAAACGUGAUUUAUAAAUAUUGCUUUCCCAGCCAGGGAUUAACACUGAUGUAUGUCAGGCCAGAUGGAUGGAUACGGUGCUGGGCGCAGAUCCUGCCUGGAAGGGUGGGGUAAGGGUCUGGGGUGGCCAGCGACUUCCCCAGAUGAAGCCAGCCACUGCCCAGGAGGGCAGCUCGGGAGGUUCAGGGAUGAUGCCCAGGGAUUCCCCUUUGUCGAGGAGUGGCAGGGACCAGAGCUCUCAGACCAUAUGGCUUCGUGGCCAAAGACAGCAACCCCGAGAAACAAACAUCUCUCCCCUCCUCUGUUCUUGCUUGGGAAUUUGAGGCUGAGCCAGAGCCAGGCACUCAUUUUUCAAAUCUGUCUACUUCUCUGGCCCUCUACAACCACUAUCCUCUCACACCUAAAACACACAGUGUCUUCCUGACUGAUCUUCCACAUCCACUCGUGUUUUAGAUUAGAAACUCCCUUGCCCCACACAUAGGCUCAGCGAGGGCAGGGACCAUGUCUGUCUUGGUCAAUGCUGUAUCCUCAAGGGCUAGACUAAUCCUGGCAUACAGAGGGUGCUCAAUUAGUAUUUGCUGUGGGAUUAGUCUCUUUGCUUAAAACCCACCAAUCAGUGGCCUCCUGUUGCUUUUAAGAAAAUAACCCCAAUUCCUUACAACGGCCUCCAAGACUUCCCAUGAGGAGCCCACCCCGACUCCCAGACUCACUUUGAUUCACUCUAGCCACUCCUUCAUCCCUCCAGUCACAAAGCACUGCUUUAGUUCCUUGAACAUCUUGUGCUUCUUCCGACCUCAGGGCCUUUGCAUGGGCUGUUCCCUCUCCUUGAACUCAUCAUUCAGGGCUCAGCAAUAAUAUCACUUCUUCCAAGAAGAUCUCUCUGACCUCUGAGACCGAGUCAGGUCCUCCGUUAGGUGCUCUUCCUGUACUUUUUCCUUCUUAGCACUCACCAUGGUUUGUAAUUGUAGACUAAAUUGUGAGUUUAUUUAAUUAACAUCUGUUUCUCACAGUAGGAUCUGAGCUCAGAUCCAGGACUAUGAUUGGUUCAGCUCUCCAUUGUUUUCUUCCAGCGACUAGUAGGGUACUAGGACAUAGUAGUUACUCAGUAAAGAUUUAUUGGAUGGAUGGAUGGAUGGAGGAUGGAUGGAUGGAUAGAUGGAUGGAUAGAUGGAUGGAUGGAUGAUUUAAUGGAAAAUAUAGCUAUGCCACCAAUUCACAGACUAAAUUCAGACAAGUCACUUCUCUCUGAGCCUCAACUUCCACGUGUAUAAAAUGGGAAUAAUGUCACAACACUUGGUGGCUGUGAUGAUUAAACAUCACUAUAUAUUUCAUGCAUCUACACAAUCCUUGAUGCAUAAAAAGCAUGCAGUCAGCACAAAGGAGUCCCACAUCAUUUCCUCUUCCUCGUCUUGCUCUCGAGCCUCCUUUCCUCCCCUGGGGAAGGCAGAUAUUUUCACAGCCAGGGGUGAUUCUCCCUCUGACGGGGAGGCUGGAGUCGCGGCAGAGCUUGAGGAGCUGACCCGGGACCACCAGUGACCUUAAACGUUGCAGGUCAUGCAAGUGUCAUUCUUCAAGUCUGGCUCGGUGCCAGGGGAGAGUCAGGCACACGCGAACCUAAUGCCGCGUGACAAGUCCUGUAACACAAGUGUGCGUGGCACCUGCAUAGUCAGAGCAAGGAGGGACAAGCCAUAAAUCCUUCCUUUCCAGGGAGGCAGAGAAAGGAGGCCACGGAAAGGAGGUGACAUUUAGCUCGAGCAUGACAGAUGAGGAAUUUGCACAGGCAAGAAGGUGGAGUGGGCCCACCCAGAGAGUGGGCACGUGGGCCGCGUAGGGAACAGGGGGUGGGGCACAAACGACUUAGCGGCCGGCAGCUACCGAGAAUUUCUCUGUGCCGGGACCCAUUCUAAGGGUUAUUCGUGAAUCUCACCAUUUACCCUUCACACCUCUGUGUUACCAUCUUUCUCGGUUACAGAUGAGGAACCCAAGGCCCAGGGUAGCUUAGUGAGCUCCUGAGCUGGCAAACGAUCGACUUGGCAUUAUUUUUUAACAUUUUAGUGGAAACUUGAAAAUAUGUAUAAAGGUAGAUAGAAUCUCCUGAAAUCUCCUGAUACUCAUCCCAUGAGUAUCUCCUGAUACUCAUCCCAUGAAAUCUCCUCAUCCCAUGAGCUUCGACCCAUGAUUCAUCUUGUGAGAGCUGGAUCUGUAGUUCAUAGGUGUGCUCAAGGUCACAGGCCAGCCCUUUUCUCCUGUAUCGUGCCCACGAUACAGGACUAGGGGACUGAAUUGGGCUAACUGGGGCCACCAAGCCAGGGAAGGGACCCAGACUGCUGAAGUCUGAGGUCAGAGGGGUUAGCGGAAAGACUGUGGGGGCAGGGAGAAGGACGCAGGAGUGAAGCCUGGGCCCUGGGCAGGAAGGCAGGGCCCCCUUGUGUGGGGCUGGCUGCAAAGGGCGGGGGCAGCAGCGCCGGGCUCUGAGUGCUUCUGGGUCACUGCACUGACGUCCAUCAAGGUGAUGGAGGCUCAGGGAUGGCCUGGCCCGUACAGGAGAGGGACGGAGGAGGCAGGAAGGGCAGGAGAAGUGGGCGCCACCUACCGCGUGAGCCCGCGCUCGGAGGCUGGAGCACCACCGCCGUCCUGCCUGGCAUCCCCGGGAACCGGCUGGCGUGGUGCAAUGACCACGGCUGGUGUUAGUUCACUGUCCUCUGUGGUCACACGUGUAGAAAGGAGACCUUGGUACACUAGGGUCCCCUCAUCAGGCCCCAGGGGCCAGGUCCCAGCCCUCCAGGCUCAGCCACUUAGACUCCAGCCAGAAAGAGCCCUCAGCCAAAGCCCGUGCUGGAGAAGACUAGUCUUCUCUGUGACCCGGGACUUGUCAGGGCCCAGCAAGCCACAACCCAAGGACCGCGGGGCCCCAGGGUCAGGGUGCCUGGGUGUCCGGGGUGGAACAAAAACAGGGUGUGGAGAUGAAUGAGGGGAAAAAAAAAAUGACAUAGCCAGGGACAGGACCUUGGCCCAGCUGGGGACAGAAUCUUGGAAAAGCUGGGGACAGGACCUUGGCACAGCUGGGGACAAAACCUUGGAAUAGCUGAAAACAGAAUCUUCAGACAGCUGGGAAUAGAAUCUCGUGACAGCCAAGGACAGAAGCGGGGGCUAUGUGGCUGGGAACAGGAUCUUCGGGCGGAAUUGGGGGAGCUGGAGUGGGGGGGAAGGAUCCGUGGGCCACCUGGGAGGCAGGAGCUUGGGGACACAGGGAGGCAAAUCCCGCGGUGGCAUCAGGAGGUGGCCGGGACGGGGGGGGGGGGGGGGGGGGUGCUGACCCCGGACCCCGAGUCGCACGCCCCUCCCUUCUUCCGGAGCAGACAACACAGCAGCGGUGCACACACAGCACAUGGGCUUCAACCGGCAGGAGCAGGAUGUGUUUUUCCUGCCCAUCCUGGUGGUGGACAGCGGGCCGCCCACCCUGAGCAGCACGGGCACGCUCACCAUCCGCAUCUGCGGCUGCGACAGCUCCGGCACCAUCCAGUCCUGCAACACCACAGCCUUCGUCAUGGCCGCCUCCCUCAGCCCAGGCGCCCUCAUUGCCCUCUUGGUCUGUGUCCUCAUCCUGGUCGGUGAGUCUACCCCCGCCCCACUGGCCUUCACCCUGAGGCCCUGGGUUUCCUUCCUAGUCGCCCCCAUGGGGCCUCAGCUGCCCCUCCCACAAGGAAGGGUGGCCUGAAUGACAGGCUCCCGUGACAAGUCUUCUAAGUACGCGGCAGUCCCCCCACCAGCUCCAGAAAGUGUCGACCCCCACCCGUGACCACUUUCAUGCUGGCCGCCCUCUACACAGCCCAAAUUCUCCCUAAAAUGUUUAAAAAACCAAGCAUCUUAUAAAAAUAUGUCCAUUGCCCUAGGACUUUAGACAAAAGGGCUCUUGUGAAUCUCACAACCACUUAGCCGGCUAUCGUCCCCGUUUUUCAGAUGAGGAAACUGAGGCCCCUAGAGGUUAAGUGGCUUACAUAAGGGUACGUGGUCUUCUGACUUGAAAUCAGGCCUGCUCACCUCGUGUGCCUUGCUCCUUUAACGACACCACCUGCUACGAAUCGCAGCUGGGACAAACUCUUGGGGCAGCUGGGGCAAAAUCCGAAAGACACUUAGUGGAAGCAAACUCUCCUCCUGUAGCAAUCCUAUGGGCAGCCAGUGGAACCCACCUGGUGUCACCAGUGAAGAGGCCAAGUUCCAGGAGCUAAGGGGGAUCCCAGUGGCCAUAAGGCCACCUCUUUACUGUCGCAGCACAAAGGCCUCCCCUCAGCUCUGGCUGCUGGACUUCGCCAACCAGCCAGAGCCCCAGGAACUCGAGCGCGGUCCAGAUCGCAGACACCAGCCUGGCCCAGUUCCCUGGGAGAUGUCAGCUACCCACCCACUGCCACUGGCGUGGCCCUGCCCACCCCCUGAGAACCUGCCUGCGGCCACGCUGCUCCUCCCCAGCCCCCACCCCCCCUGCAGAGGCCCCGGGCUGGCUCCUCCUAGCUGGGAGGCCGCCCCCCCCCCUUGUCUCCCCUCCCCAGCCCAUGGCUCAGAAACCCUUUUUCCAGAGGGUGCACUUUACAGCGGUUUCAUUUUCCGAGGCAGUGCAAACAAAUUUCUGCCUAAUUGCCCACAAACGAAGAAAGUGCACAUCAGUGCUCUAAAGGUGACGGGCGGAAUCGCUGAUCAGGCCUGGCACAUCUGUUGCCCGCUGCCCGCGCUCCCCACCAUCUGCUCUCUCGGGCAUCCCCCUCCGCCGCUCCCAGCCUCCGCUCCGAAAGCCGUCCAUCCAUCUUUCCCACUUCUCUCCUGACACCUUCCCUCCCUCCGGAGCUGUUCCCAGGCCCUACCCCCUUCCCUGUCACGCGCCACCUUGUUAGGUCGUGUGCGGGAACCCGGCCCCAUGGCCCUAGCAGCUGGCCCGGCCGGAGGUGUUAGGCACAGCAAGAAAAAUCCAGAGCCUGGCGUGGUACCCAGCGUGUGUGUCUCCAUCCACCUCCUCACCUACCCAUUUAAUUCUCUCAUUGGUUCAUCGGCUCCUUAUUUAUCCAUCCAGUGAGUCCCCCCAUGUGCUAACCUAUUGUGGGCGCUGGAAUUCAUCCGUGAACAAAAGAAACAAAAAGCCUGAAGUAACUACAAAGUUGAAGUAGCCAUCACGGAGACGGGGGAGACUGAAGAAGGGGAAAGAUUAUUUCAAGUUUGGACGUGUUAAGUUUGAAAUGCUCCGGGUCGACCCGGAGGACUUGCUCAGUAGGAAAUUGGGCAUACAAUCUAUAUUUCGGGGGAGAAGUGAGUCCGAGCCCGGGGCCUGAGAUGGGGGGCAGUUAUCAGCCUCCACGUGGAAUGCAAAGCCAGCAGAUCGUACAAAAGCCCCCAGACAGGGGUGUGGAUAACGGGUCAAGGACUGAAUCCUGGGACAUAUGAUGUUAAGGGGUCAGACAGGCGAGGAGAAACCUGCUUAGAAGACCCAGAAUGAGUGCUCGGUGAGGUGAUGGGGGCGGGGGAGAGAAUGUGGAGUCCUGGAAGUCAAGGGCACAAAGCAAAGUCAUUGUCUCAGCCUUACACGCACCACGUCUCCAUCCGCCUCUUCGUUCAGUCAUUUAGCCAACAAGCACACUUCAAGGGGCUGACCGCCUGCCUGGAACCAGGCUAGGGGAACGCUCCCUAGGUCCCGGAGGGGAGUUUAGAGUGUGUAUGUUGAGGCGGCUCUAACUGCCAGUAGACAAGUCACAUUUCCAGCAAGUUCGAAGGAGAUACUGAUGCUGCUGGACCAGCAAGUGGGCGUUGAGAACCCCUGCGACAGAGGGAGGAAGGGCUCACCAGGGGAGCUUGGAGGUGAAGGCACUCAACCUGGCUGGCCUGGAGCUCUUGGGGAAGGGCUCCUGCUGGAGACCAUCUUGACCUGAGACCCAAAGGGCUAAGCAGGUGCUCCCCCUUCUGGAGGGCCAGGAUGAAAGAGAGGUCAGGUUCAACACAUCUUUCAUUCCCCCAGUCCCACCUACCCCGCGUCAGCUGCCCCCUUUGUACACCCCACCCCCAGAGCCUAGAGACGUCUCAGGUUGUAUCUCCGUAGAGUUGAGGAUGGAGACUUCAGAGGUUGGGUCCAGCCCCCAACACCCAUGAAAUCCCUCAACACCGCGGCACGGUGGUCUAGCCUCUAUUUGCACGCCUCUCAAGAUGGGUAGCUCACUACCUGUCCAUCUAGCCAGCACAGUUCUGACCGUAAGAAACGUCUUUGUGCACAGAAAUCUAGGAAAUGUGCACCAGUGUCUAGGCUGGGCCAGCUCCACUGGGAUGUGAGGAGUGGGGGGGUCCCCCGGAAUGCCCUGGGCGGGCCUCGGCCCUCACUCGCCCCCUUCUGUCUCCCUCGCAGUGCUGGUGCUGCUGAUCCUCACCCUCAGGCGCCACCACAAGAGCCACCUGAGCUCGGACGAGGACGAGGACAUGCGGGACAACGUCAUCAAAUACAACGACGAGGGCGGCGGCGAGCAGGACACCGAGGCCUACGACAUGUCGGCGCUGCGGAGCCUCUACGACUUCGGCGGCGAGCUCAAGGGCGGCGACGGGGGCGGGGGCCCGGCGGGCGGGGGCCCGGGCGGCGGCGGGGGCGCGGGCAGCCCCCCGCAGGCCCGCCUGCCCUCGGAGCACCACUCGCUCCCGCAGGGGCCGCCCAGCCCCGAGCCGGACUUCUCGGUGUUCAGGGACUUCAUCAGCCGCAAGGUGGCGCUGGCGGACGGGGACCUGUCGGUGCCGCCCUACGACGCCUUCCAGACCUACGCCUUCGAGGGCGCGGACUCGCCGGCCGCCUCGCUCAGCUCGCUGCACAGCGGCUCGUCGGGCUCCGAGCAGGACUUCGCCUAUCUCAGCAGCUGGGGCCCGCGCUUCCGGCCCCUGGCCGCGCUCUACGCCGGCCACCGCGCGGACGACGAGGCCCAGCCCUCCUAGCGCCCCCGUCCUGCCGUCGGGGCGCGCCUCCAGGCCCACUGAGGGCCCGACGGGGCCCCGGGACCAAGCAUUUCCCCUGCUCACCGCCUUCCCCAGCUCUCCCACCCUCCCAGGGCGGCCGGACGGGAGGGAGGACUCGUUGGGGGCGGACACCCCGACGCCCCCUCUGGCCCCCCACCCCCCCUCCCGGGGGUGGGGUGGGGCAGCUUUUGCCCAGACAUACGGGAAUUACCACCAACGUCAUUAAAAUUGCAGCGAGACCCGGCACUGCGUGGCUCUGGGGUGAGAAGGGGGGAUAGGGCCGCGUUGCUGGGUGGAGAAGAGGGGGGUUACUCACUCCUGGCAGGUGAGGGAGGAGGGACGACGCUGCCGAGGUGUCCCCCCUCCCGGGUCUCCCCCAUCGGAGUUAAGAGAGAAGGAAGGCUGUUCAUUUACUAAGCGCCUACUGUGUGCUGGGACACUGCAGAGACCAUCUGUUUUCACAGAAACCAUGAGGUGGGGCCCUGCAGGUAACAGAGGGAGAAGGCCACCCAGAGAAGUGGCUGUGACCUGUCCAAGGACACCUAGCCAAAACGGUGGAGCCUCUGGCACUUAACUUACCAAGUUGCCUGGCCUUGGGCAAGUGACCUCACUUCUCUGGGCCUCAGUUUCCUCCUGUGUCACGUGAGGCUAAUAACAGAACCUACCUCGAAGAGUCCUGAGGAUUAAAAAAGGGUUCGUAUGUGUCACGUGGUUAGGACAGUGCCUGGCACAUAGUAGGUGUUCAAUAAAUGUUAGCCUUUGACACUACUGUUAUCUUUGUCGUUAUUAGAAGCCCACCGCGUCUGCCUCCCCUUAUGGCUCUCUCUGUGACCAGUCACCCUCCCCCUUUCCCCAACAUCUCCAAGGGAGAAGAAAAUGGUCCCAGCUGUUGGCUCCGCCCCUGCCCUGAGUAGGGAAUAGGGACAUUCUCAGGGACAGUGGACCCUUCCAGAGUCUCAGGUGGGACUGGGAGAGAGAGGACCCCUGGCAGGGGUGCCGAGAGGAGAAGCUGGGCAGCUGUAGGACUUGGGUGAGGUGAGAGGGCUGGCAGGGGGUGGAGGGGCCAGAAGCCACUGGGUGUAAUGGGGACCUUAUUUGUUCGGUCCAGGAGCCCAUUAGUCUCCCCAUUCAUGGACCCCAAGUUAAGAACUUCAGGGCUAAGUCGUCUUUAAGAGCCUCCAGCUCUAAAACCAUUUGAUUGGUUAAUUGUCCUCCUGCCCCACCCCCAAGUGAUUCAUUCAUCCCGCAUUGAUCAGUUGUAAAUUCCAGCCCUGCUAGCUGGGCAGCCUUCAUCAAGGUCCUCAACUGCUGAAGCCUCAGUUUACUCAUAUGUAAAAUGGGGCUAAUGAUAGUUCCUCCCUUAAAGGGUUGUUAAGAGGCUUAAAGGAGCUAAUGAAUGUUAAGCUCUGAUCCCAGUGCCUUCCUGACGCCUUGCAAGUGCUCAAUAAAUGUUCAUUAGCGUUUUUUUUUUUUUUUAAACUCUUCCAGGGAACAUUCAUUGAAUCCCUCCACAUUUGCCAAGGUCCACUGUGACACAUCCAGAGAUGGUCAUUCUGUCCUGAGUGCCUUAUCAUUUCAUCUAAGUUAGAUACUGUCGGCCCCACAUCACAGGUGAGGAAACUGGGGCACAGAAUGUCGUAGGGCACCCAAGUUUACACAGGUCAUAAGUACUUCCUGCCUUCCAGCCAGCCAAGGCCCCACUGGGCCGGGUGCGGUGGGCAGACGCAGCCAAUCAUAACGCACUUGAUAAGAGUUGUAGCAGAACUAACAGAACAAGGUCCUGCCAGCACUGAAAAAAGAUUGAAUCAUUUGUGGAGGGCUUCCCGGAGGAGGUGACUCCAGCUGGAUCGUAAAGAAUGAGAUGUACGAGAUGACCAAGCAAGCAAGAGCGUUCCAAGCAGAGGAAAGAGCAUAUUCCAAGGCGGUGGUGGGGCGGAGGCCGGAAGCCUGUGGUGGUUCCGGGGACAGCGUAUGGUCCCAGGGGCUGGAUCAGCGGGUGGAGAAACGGUGAGAUGUGAGGCAGGGAAGGCUGGUUGGAGGCAGGAGGGGAAAGAACAUAAGGUCCAGGCCAACACACCUUCCUCAACUCGAGCAUGUCUGCUGAUGUCCAUUGAGGGUGGCUCAUGGCAGGUAUAUGGGCUGAGUGAGGCAGUCCCAAGUGGGGUGGUAUUGGGACCCUCCUCCCAUGCAGGACACUUGGCCCAUGGUUCCCAUAGCUCUUCUACAAGUGGGCACGGUAACAGGGCCCUGUGGGGAGACACGCCAUCCCCUCCCUCACCCGCGUGUACUCCACUGUCACAGAAUCCCGGCGACAUUUCUCAGAUUGAUUAUUGCUGUCUCCAUUGUAGCGGGGGAAACUGAGACCCAGAGGAGGGAAGUGACUGGUCACUUGGCCCGGCUGGUACAGGACAGAGCUGGGACAACAGAGGACCCCUCAUUCCAAGUCUCUGUUCUUUGCACAUGUGCUGGUUGCCUUGACAGAGUCUGACCCUGCCAAGAAAGAGGUUACAUGCCCAGAGGGACGUACAAACGGGCCUCCUUGAAUAUCUUGUCCAAACUCCACACAUGGGGGAUGACCUUCCCAAGGUCACACAGAGUUUUAAAGAUCUUGCCAGAAAUCAAGAACAUUAUUCAUCCAGAUUCACCUUCUGAGCCUCGGGCUCUACCAUUUACCAGCUGUGUGGCUUUGGACGUACCAUUUGCCCUCUCUGUGCUUCCGUUUCCUUAUCCACAAAGUGCCCACGCUGAGCACACCUGCUCCAUAGGGUUGUGGCGAGGAUGAAAUGCUGUCAUGACUGGAGAUACUGAGGCUUUCUCACGUGCCAGGCACUGCCCAAAGCAUGUCACGGUGAACGAACCCAUCUAACCCCACAACCACCCGGUAAGCAGCCCUCAUUUUAUGAGUGAGGAACGGAGGCACAAAAAAGGUUGAAUACCUUGCCCAAGAUCAAACAGCUGAUAAAGAGAGAUGCCAAGACUUCAGCCACGUGCUCUGGCCCUCGGCACCCGCACCCUCAGCGGCACGCCCAGUGGCCGGCCCGUAGGAAAUCGUGAACGAGUGGCCUGGACACAUCGGGAUGUCGCUGCCUGUGCCCCGGGAGAGCUUGCUCUCCGCUCCCUGCUGCGGUCUCUGGCCCGUGGGAGGCCUCAAGCCUCCCCAUGAUUUCUUCCAAUUCCGGGGUGGGGUGUGGAGGCGAUGCCUCCCCCGUCUCCUCUGCUUCCGGCUCCUGUGGCCACACUCACCGUCCCCACUGGACUCUGAGCCAGUCCAAGAGGGAAGUGCAGUGGGUCCAGCUGCUGCGCUGGGCUCCGCGAGGCGUCCACUGAUGCCGAGCAUUUUGCGAGCGACUGUUCUGAUGAGCUGGGGGGCGCGGAGAAGGGUCCUGUUGUGGAGCACACGGCCUCUCGCCAUCUGUCUCCCGGGUUCCCACCAAAUUCCCCCGGGGGAGCUCCAAAUCCUCUCCCUGUGCCAGGCAGAGAGCGUGGCCACCACCCCCCCCCCCCCCCCCCCCCCCCCCCCCCCCCCCAGACUCUCGCUGGCCACACCCAGCUCCAUCAGGGAGCUCAGAACACAAUGAGCGUUCCAUUUACCAUGUCUGCCCUCUCUGCCAGGCGUCUGGGGAAAUGAAAAGAAUCCCCCUUUAUUGUCAUCAUCUCCAUCCCCGUCCUCGUCACAGGACAGAAGGGGAUUCGGGGUCACGAGCAAGAAUUGGCAUGUAAUUGGCCAAGGAUUUUAGAACCAGGGACGUUAAUGACCGCGACGGUGAUGGUAAUGACGGUGACGGUGACAGCCCACUUGCCUGGCGCUUGCUGCGUGCCCUAAGCCCUGUUCUGAGCCCUGAACGUAAUUAUCACAAGCACAGGUAAAAGCCAUGGAGGGUGGGCUCUGUGUUUACUGUGUUCAGCUCAUUACGUAAGUUGCAGUGUUGAACUGCAAACAAGUCGGUGAUUAGCCCUAGUUUACGGACGAGGGAUCCAGCGCUCGCAGAGGAGGAGAGGCUUGCCGGAGGCCACAGAGCUUGUAAGGGCGGGACUGUUGCACGCACACCGCCCCUCGAUUCUGCCCAGGACCCGGACAGCUCAGAUUCGGAGUGGAGUUUUGGGGCUGGGGGCGGAGAGAGGAGCAGCUGGUGAGGGGGGGGGCCUGCAGACAGAUGGCCGAGCCGGGAGGCAAGGUGGCAGUGGGGCCGGGGCGGCGGUGCGUGCCCAGCUCUGCAUCUCCGGGGCGUCCUGAUGUGCGUGUGUCUGCAUGUGGCUGUGGGCACGCACCGGAGAAGUGGGAAGCCAGCACUCAAGCACACGGGUCAAGAACUAACCUCCCGCCUCCCGAUUCCGGAUUCCGGGGGCCGGCGGCCCAGAGAGCCGGCUGCUGUCCUAGGGGGCGGCUAAGCGCCCGCAUCCGUCAGCCGGCCGUCAUCGCGGCCCACCCCCGGGUCACGAAUCAGCAGCUCCACUUACCUCCUGCCAGCAAGCGCUCUCGGGCCAGCUCUGUCACUGGCCGCUGAGCCUUUGGAAGACGUAACCCUGUCAGCCCUCACUCUGAGGCGAGAGGGUUUACGCUUCAGUGCCUGCACAUGAGUGUGGGAACACGGCCACGUGCCCAUGCCGGCUCAUGAUGCAUGCACAUGUGGACCCCCAGACACGCUCCUACCUGCGUGCACGGUGCAGACGUAUGCCAUGCACACAGAGCGUAUCUGCAGCUCUGCAAAUGUGGUCACAUGCCCAUACACCGCACGUGUACUGGAGGCAAGCUCUCACGUGCACACUCCCAUUUGUACACAAACCAUACACACGCCUUCUGUAGCUGUGUUCUCUUACACGCGUGUGCGUGUGUGUCCGCUGGCACGCUUCCAUCUUCCCCUCCAGGCGUGCACCCAUGCGCAUUCACGGCACCCCCACGCAGUAACCCCACACAUGUAUGCGUAUCCCCUCAGACGUGCACAUGCACACGAACCCAUAGCUCCAUGCACACAUUCAUAGUGCAUAUGCACAUUUGCGUGCUUGCAUAGGAAAGCAUGUAUAGGCUCAGGAACGCUGUUACCAACUCUAAGCUCAAGCACAUAAUGCCUAUGGAUCCGUUCGCCUGCAUGAGCACAUAAGGCACAUAAGUCCGUGUGUACGUAACGAACACGAUCUCUUAGAAACAUACAAGCGUUCAGAACCGCACACACAUGCAACGAUAUAUACCCCCAGGCCGCUGCCAGCCUCCACGUGUGUACCUCCGCUUCCAGAAUGCAGUCCUCAGGCACCUGACCAGCUCUAUCCACGCGUCCCUUCAGGCAGGCCCACCAUGGAUCACUCACAGCCUCGCCAUCUGAACCUAACUCCGCACACAAGCGUGCACACAGUCAUGUGCCUCUGAAGCCCAGCUCCCCUGUGUGUGUGAGGUCACAGCCCUGGCACACGGGUGCACACAUCCCCCUCCGGGGUGCAGCCUGCCCCAGUCCCAGAUUGUCAGGUGUGCUGGGGACAGCAGGAAUAGUGCCCACACACAGAAAUCGCCACUUGUGCAGAAUUGCAUCUGCCGCAAACUUCUCAUCCGCUGUGCACAUGAUGAUUAACUGUUAUUGUGCAAGAG